CUGUCUCCUGAAGCCUGAAUCUUGAGUGAGGGACACGGCACAGGGCCUGGCAAGAAGACCCAGUUGUUCCUGGAGUACAAUGUUGUCUGGGUUUGGCCCCCCAGCCUCUGGAGCACUCUUGUUUUCCAAGCCUGGGUGUGCAACCUCACUGGAUGCUAUUUCUGACUCCACCAGUUCAAGAGAAGCAAAUAGAAGACCUUCUUAGAAGGCAGAGACAAGAACCUGGAACUUAAUCAGGCUCAAGGGAGCCCCUCCAACAUCCACCACUGGUGCCUCCUGGAGAGCUUCCAUGCUUGGGGAACAAGAAUGCUUCCACGUGCCACCAAGACAGACUUCAAGACAGGAGCUUAUUUGGGACUUUGCCCUAUGUAUCUUCACCUGGCUGUUAACUUGUAUCCUUUAUAGUAUCAUUUAUUAAACUGGUAAAUGUG